CGGUAAUUCCAGCUCCAAUAGCGUAUACUAAAGUUGUUGCAGUUAAAAAGCUCGUAGUUGGAUUUCUGCGGGGACGGAGCGGCCGGACGCAACUUGCGUCUCGAGCUAGCGCUUUCCCCACAUCCUGCCGCGAACCGUGCUACCAUUAGUUUGGUGGCGCUGGGGAUCGGCUCGAUUACUUUGAGAAAAAUAGAGUGUUCAAAGCAGGCCACACGCCUUGAAUAAGUUAGCAUGGAAUAAUGACUAAGGACUUUGGUUCUUUUCGUUGGUGUUCGGGACUGAAGUAAUGAUUGAUAGGGACAGUUGGGGCGGUCCGUAUUCCAAAGCGAGAGGUGAAAUUCUUAGACCUUCGGAAGACGAACAGCUGCGAAAGCGUUCCGCAAGGAUGUUCCCUUUGAUCAAGAACGAAAGUUGGGGGAUCGAAGACGAUCAGAUACCGUCGUAGUCUCAACUAUAAACUAUACCAGCUAGGGAUCGGCCAACGUUUAAUUAUUCGACUUGGUCGGCACCUUAUGAGAAAUCAAAGCAUCUGGGUUCCGGGGGGAGUAUGGUCGCAAGGCUGAAACUUAAAGGAAUUGACGGAAGGGCACCACCAGGCGUGGAGCCUGUGGCUUAAUUUGACUCAACACGGGAAAACUUACCAGGUCCAGACAUAGGAAGGAUUGACAGAUUGAUAGCUCUUUCUUGAUUCUGUGGGUGGUGGUGCAUGGCCGUUUUUAGUCGGUGAAGUGAUUUGUCUGCUUAAUUGCGUUAACGGACGAGACCCCAGCCUGCUAAAUAGCGCGGUCGAGCUUUGCUCGGCACGAGCUUCUUAGAGGGACCAUGAUGCGCGAUAGCACAAGGAAGUUUGGGGCAACAACAGGUCUGUGAUGCCCUUAGAUGUUCUGGGCCACACACGGGCUACACUGGCGCCUGCAACGAGCAUAUCAGCUGGCCCGAGAGGGUCUUGGCUAAUCUUUGGAACCGGCGCCGUGCUUGGGAUUGACCAUUGCAAUUGUUGGUCAUGCAACGAGGAAUGCCUUGUAAACGCGAGUCAUCAGCUCGCAUUGAAUACGUCCCUGCUCCUUGUACACACCGCCC
rnacentral:rRNA from 1 species